UGUCCAUCUCCUUUGGUGAUGUAUGGACUCUGAAUUUGGGUGCAUCUUUUAAAGGAAAUGGAAGCUGCCAUGGUUCUUAUAGCAUAAGGAACUGAAUUCUGCUACCUACCUGAAUGAGUUCAUGUGAGACUGCAGUCUUGGCUAACACCCUGAUUUAAGCCUUUUGAGAGCUUCAGCAGAGAAUCCAGUUAUGCUGUGCCUGGAUUUCUGACCUACAGAAACUGUGAGAAAAUAAAUUGGCAUUAUUUUACUUUCUACCUUUAUGAUAAUUUGUAAUGUAGCAAUAGAACACUAAUAC
rnacentral:lncRNA from 1 species